ensembl:lncRNA
UGACUCUCACAGGAGAACAAAUUAAAGUCCGGGGACAUGUAAACCCACCUUCAGAGCUUCCAGUGAAAUGUUUCUACACUGUAAACAGGUCUGGAGUUCAUCCUCCCUCUGAACACUCUUCUCCUGUUUCAGUGUUUGUGCUGGGUGAGUGAAGAAGCAUCACUACUGUUAAUUCACUCAACAUUCACUCUGUUUGGCAUUUCUGAGUUCAUUCCUGCCUUCUGUCUGCUGACAGAUCAUUUGCAGAAACCCAUGGUAAGCGUGCACCAUGACCGAACUGACAUGCAGUUCGUCAUUGUUUGUGAAAUACCCAAGCAGUCCUGGAAUGUCACCGGAUGCCAGCUUUAUACUGGACAUGGGGAGAACUUUUACUUGACAGCUAAAAUACAGAAAGCAUCUGGAAACUGCCUUUUUUACGUGGACAAAAAUUAUUUAUUCAGACGUCUGCAGUCAGUGGGGAGCAGAGAGGUGAGCUGUGAUUAUACAGUGAACACAGAACCUUCUUCUCUCGCUCCACGCAGUGACCCAUACACCAUUCAAGGUUUAACAUCUCAAUCUACUUCAGUUAACCUCAAACCUGCCACAAGAGGUGAUGCACACACUGCCACAGUGUCUCCAGGUUCAACCCCUCACCUUCAUUCAGAGUACACCAAGGAUGCCUCAGUCUCUCCAGGUUCAAACCCUCACUUUACUUCAGAGGACACCAUGGAUGCUUCAGGUAAGUGAUGCAUUCAUUAUCACACUAUGACACAUUACCAUACGUUAUUUAUUAGCACAGAAUAAACACAUAUAUAAUCAGUUGUUUUGUCGUAUUUGAUAUACCAGAUUCUGCGAUGGCCAGAUUUCUAUUUACUGUAUGUAUGCUUGUAUGUAUAUUAUGUGUAUGUCAACUGCACUGAACAAUACUGUUGAAAAAAACAUUGGUCUGUUUUCAACCAAUUAUUUUCUCACAGCUACAACACUGACCCCCUCUACAGGUAAAGUCUCUGAGCAUGGUUCACCAGAUUCACACUUCUGUUUGUGUGACUGUCACAGCUAAAACUAAAUUUAACAACGGAAAAGUGGGUAACACUUUAUAGUAACAGACCACAAUAAAUAGCAAAAUAACCGUUAUCAAAAAGUUUGUUGAUGAUUGUUAAUAGUGAAAACGGUGGUUGUUACGACCGGCUCGUGGGUCGCAACAUAAAAACGGUAGAGACAGACAAUGUGGCGGAUUGUAACAAAAGACUAUUUAUUAACUAGAAAGUUUGAUGCAAAGGAGAA